rnacentral:rRNA from 1 species
GCUCAGGACGAACGCUGGCGGCGUGCUUAACACAUGCAAGUCGAACGGAAAGGCCCUUCGGGGUGCUCGAGUGGCGAACGGGUGAGUAACACGUGGGUGAUCUGCCCUGCACUUUGGGAUAAGCCUGGGAAACUGGGUCUAAUACCGGAUAGGACUACGCACUGCAUGGUGUGUGGUGGAAAGCUUUUGCGGUGUGGGAUGGGCCCGCGGCCUAUCAGCUUGUUGGUGGGGUGAUGGCCUACCAAGGCGACGACGGGUAGCCGGCCUGAGAGGGUGUCCGGCCACACUGGGACUGAGAUACGGCCCAGACUCCUACGGGAGGCAGCAGUGGGGAAUAUUGCACAAUGGGCGCAAGCCUGAUGCAGCGACGCCGCGUGAGGGAUGACGGCCUUCGGGUUGUAAACCUCUUUCGCCAGGGACGAAGCGCAAGUGACGGUACCUGGAGAAGAAGCACCGGCCAACUACGUGCCAGCAGCCGCGGUAAUACGUAGGGUGCGAGCGUUGUCCGGAAUUACUGGGCGUAAAGAGCUCGUAGGUGGUUUGUCGCGUUGUUCGUGAAAACUCACAGCUUAACUGUGGGCGUGCGGGCGAUACGGGCAGACUGGAGUACUGCAGGGGAGACUGGAAUUCCUGGUGUAGCGGUGGAAUGCGCAGAUAUCAGGAGGAACACCGGUGGCGAAGGCGGGUCUCUGGGCAGUAACUGACGCUGAGGAGCGAAAGCGUGGGGAGCGAACAGGAUUAGAUACCCUGGUAGUCCACGCCGUAAACGGUGGGUACUAGGUGUGGGUUUCCUUCCUUGGGAUCCGUGCCGUAGCUAACGCA